rnacentral:rRNA from 1 species
UGCGUAGAUAUCAGGAAGUACACCGACGGCGAAGGCAGCUUUCUGGCUGGCAACUGACCCUGAUGAACGAUAGCUAGGGUAGCGAACAGGAUUAGAUACCCUGGUAGUCCUAGCUGUAAACGUUGUGCACUGGAUGUGGACGGAUUUGGUCCCGUCUGUGUCUGAGCGAAGGCGUUAAGUGCACCGCCUGGGGACUACGGCCGCAAGGCUAAAACUCAAAGGAAUUGACGGGGGCCCGCACAAGCGGUGGAGCAUGUGGCUCAAUUCGAGGCAACGCGAAGAACCUUACCUGGGUUUGACGUAUACCUGACCGCCGGUGAGAGCCGGUUUCUCUUUGAGCAGGUAUACAGGUGCUGCAUGGCUGUCGACAGCUCGUGCUGUGAAGUGUUCGGUUAAGUCCGGCAACGAGCGCAACCCACGCUGUUAGUUACCAUCAGGUAAUGCUGGGGACUCUAACAGGACUGCCCGUGCUAAGCGGGAGGAAGGCGUGGACGACGUCAAGUCCGCAUGGCCCUUACGCCCAGGGCUGCACACGUGCUACAAUGGCCGGUACAGAGGGUCGCCACUCUGCGAAGAGGAGCUAAUCCCGAAAACCGGCCUCAGUUCGGAUUGGAGUCUGCAACCCGACUCCAUGAAGUAGGAAUCGCUAGUAAAGGCGUAUCAGCAACGGCGCCUUGAUCUGUUCCCGGGCAUUUACACACCGCCCGUCACAUCAUGGAAGCCGGCUGCACCCGAA